rnacentral:rRNA from 1 species
GGGGGGGGGGGGGGGUGGGGGGGGGGGGGGCGGGGGGGGGGGGGGGGCGGUGGGGGCGUGCUCUGCCGGGGGGCGGGUGGCGGGCGGGGGCUGAGUACCUCGGCACCUACCUUUCCUUUGGGGCUAGCGUGGUGACACUUACGCUAAUACCUCCUACGCCCUACGUGUGAGCGACUGGGAUCUUCCGACCUUGCUCCCUUGCAUGUCGCGCUGUCGGAUUAGCUAGUUGGCGGGGUAAAGGCCCACCACGGCGACGAUCCGUAGCUGGUCUGAUAGGAUGAUCAGCCACACUGGAACUGAGACACGGUCCAGACUCCUACGGGAGGCAGCAGUGGGGAAUAUUGGACAAUGGGCGCAAGCCUGAUCCAGCCAUACCGCGUGGGUGAAGAAGGCCUUCGGGUUGUAAAGCCCUUUUGUUGGGAAAGAAAAGCAGCAGGUUAAUACCCCGCUGUUCUGACGGUACCCAAAGAAUAAGCACCGGCUAACUUCGUG